GUACACGCUGUGACUAGCAUAUCAAUAAGCGGAGGAAAAGAAACUAACAAGGAUUCCCUUAGUAACGGCGAGUGAAGCGGGAAGAGCUCAAAUUUGAAAUCUUCAAGGUUCUACCUUGACGAAUUGUAGUUUAAAGAAGUGUUUUCUGUUAGUGAAGUUGGCUAAAAGUUCUUUGGAAUAGGACAUCAUAGAGGGUGAGAAUCCCGUAUUUGGUCAUUCCUUCUAGCUUUGUGAUACACUUUCAAAGAGGUCGGACUUGUUUGGGAAUGCAGUCCAAAAUGGGUGGUAAAUUUCAUCUAAAGCUAAAUAUUGGCGAGAGACCGAUAGCGAACAAGUACCGUGAGGGAAAGAUGAAAAGAACUUUGAAAAGAGAGUUAAACAGUACGUGAAAUUGUCGAAAGGGAAGCGUUUGACACCAGUGUUGUUUUUCCGAAAAUCAAUUAUAGAUGUUUUGUUUCUGAGGAGUGAUGACUUCAUCGGCUUCCUUCUCUCUUCACGAAACUUUUGUAAUGCACUUUUCGGUUAACAAGUCUAACAUCAAUUUCUUUUGUUGUAAAAGAGUAUUCGGAAGGUGGCUUUCUUUUCGGAGAAAGUGUUUAUAGCUCUAUACUUCUACAAUCGGAGAGAUUGAGGUCUGCAGCGUAGAUCCUUCGGGGUUAGAUACAUUUGUGCUAAGCUACUAGCUUUUCAUAGACAACUUGUUGACUAUGUUUAGUCUUGUGACUCACCCGCUUAUGCUAUUUUACCUACGCUUAGGAUGUUGACACACGCGCGUGCUCGGCUCUAUACAUGACUCUGCGCAUAUCAAUAAGCGGAGGAAAAGGCUGCGGAACUGAACGACCGCUACCUACGCUUAGGAUGUUGACACACGCGCGUGCUCGAUCUAUACAUGACUCUGCGCAUAUCAAUAAGCGGAGGAAAAGGCUGCGGAACUGAACGACCGCUACCUACGCUUAGGAUGUUGACACACGCGCGUGCUCGACUCUAUACAUGACUCUGCGCAUAUCAAUAAGCGGAGGAAAAGUACCUACGCUUAGGAUGUUGAUCUACAGAGCGAGAGU
rnacentral:rRNA from 1 species